CGCGAGACGGCAGCCGGGAGGGACAGAAUUGUCCGGAGCACCGGGACCGAGCCCGCCCGGGGCUCUGAGGGGGAGAGCGGGCGCUCCUGGACAGCCCAGCUGUGCUGCUGAGGGACACUGGAGCUGCACUGCAGGCAGCAGGGAAUGGACACCCAGUCUUCCCUAGGUUCCCACGGGGGCUCUUAUUGCUCAGAAGAAUCCAGAAUCUCUCCCCACGGGAUGGGCUGUGCCAGGAGGCAGAGGAGCCCCGCCUGUUCCCGAGUUAAGGUGCUUUCCUGGGUUCUUUGCC